rnacentral:misc_RNA from 1 species
AAACUAUUCGCCAACGGAGUUUUCUCUCAGUGUUUUGGGUUGUUGGUUAUGGUCAAAUCAUCUCCACACUAUAAUGGAAAGCAUUACCAGGAGACUUUAAAGGUGGUUGUAGAACUGUUUUAAAACUAUAUAAACUUAAUCUAAGUGAAUUGCAAGAGGAGUUUAGUGCAAAAAUUUAAUGAUUUUAGUAUUCUUCUCUGGGCAGUGUUCAGGACUUCCAGAACAUUUUGAUAUGCACCCCCAAGCUAUGGUAUCAUAUAUAUACUUUAAUCAAGUUAGACUGAUUCAUUAUAUACCUAACUCUAUAAAAUACAUACACCAAAUAUUUAGUUUUCUUUACAAUACAGUUUAUAAGUUUAUUUCAUUUAACAUAUUUUUCUUGAUAAAUUCAUUUCUCUGAAAC